AGGUGUGUGUAGAAAGCCGCCCGCUCUUUGGAGAGGAGUUCGUAAGUCACAGAGUUGAGGCCGUCCGAGUGCCAGCAGGGGGUGGAGGGCUGUCCCUUCCCCGCACGCCUUGAAAAUGAAGUGCCGUUCACAGGAAAAAGGCUCGCGAGCGCGAGCUGCUGAGCGUCUCAUCUAACCUGUACUCAAACUUGUCGAUGGCCACGGCCAGGUGCCUGGGGUUGCACGCGUCGCAGGCGUGCCGCUCCCCGACUGAAAGACAUCACACGAGGCUUCCCGUCAAGUGAGGGUCGCCUUUCUGGCGAGGACGACAAAAUGGUUCCGAAUUCACCGCCAGCUCUCCUCACCUGCUCCACGACGUAGAUCCUGUAGUGGAUUUGUUGCCUCUGCAGCAAAGGAUGGAGGUGGUCGAGGAGAGCGCGGAGGUGCGUCGGCCGCUUCCGGUACGGCACCAC